AUUUUCCCCCUAAAUUGUCGAAACCCUACACGUGAUGGACUCCAUCGUCUCUCUGCACCUAACUUCAUCCAUCUUCUCCUAUUCCAUUGGAGAACUCAACGACCCGAUGGAAUACACUUGGUCUAGUUUGUUGGCUUUCUAUUCAUUAGAAUUUCGUCCCUGAUUUUCUUUCGUCGAUGCCACGAAUCUAUAACAAACCUUUGGUAAGUAUGAUAUUUGGUUUACAUGUGUGUUUCAAUGUUGUUAAGUGUUUCUGUAUUUGCAUAUAGCUUGGACGAAUUCAAUAUGCUAUUUGUACACAAUUAGGACCAAAUCUGUGUGUUCAUGAAUUUGAAGUUCAAAUCCCUAUUUGAAAUUCGGUUGAAGCAACAUGUACGGAUUUGAACCAUUUCUUUAUAGUCGUUCUAGAGCUUAUGUGUGUAUGGGUUUGAAUUGUAAGUUAGAACCCUACUUUUGAACCAUUUUUAAGCAUUUGUGUUCUAGCUGUGUAGUGAAUUUGAAUUUAUUCCAGAAAGUUUGUAGUGGUACCUAUUACAGAGAUGUUCAACAUGCGUCCCUACAAUACUAACUUUACCCCAAUUUCGGCUUCUGUGUACUGAUUGUGUAAUGAGCUUUCAUGUGUUCAAAAAUUGGUUGUCAUUCCAUGCUGUAAAGAAAGCAAUGUAGGUAUAGAGGUCUUCAAAUUUUUUUUUAUUUUUUUUAUUUAUUUUUUAUUGAAAUGAGACUAUGAAGUAGUUAAUUUCACACUCGCUUGCUCGAACAUUUGUAAUAUCAAAUUUGUGAAGCAUAAAUUGAAUUGGUUAUUGCAUCGUAUUGAUAUUCUAUCUUUGUGGUUGAGUGGCAGUUUACAAUGAGAGGAAAAAAUAAUGGAGUAUGUCAUGGUUGUAGACGUAACGAUCACUUCUUUGCGGAUUGCCAAAUAAAUGCCCAUGCCCAUUGUGUAAACACUCAUUUGUGAAGUGUUUUGAGGUGAAGAAGGAUACUAAGAACAAAGGUAAAUGGUUCAAUUGUUGUAGUGCGAACUGCGGAUAUUGAGAGUGGGUUACAGCAGGUGAAAUAGGCAGUGAAUCAAAUUUCGUUGGUAGUACAUCUACUAAGCCUUUGACAAACAAAUCAUGCCCUUGUUUGAGC
rnacentral:lncRNA from 1 species